rnacentral:rRNA from 1 species
UGCCUUAGUACGGCGAGUGAAGCGGCAACAGCUCAAAUUUGAAAUCUGGCUCUUUCAGAGUCCGAGUUGUAAUUUGCAGAGGGCGCUUUGGCUUUGGCAGCGGUCCAAGUUCCUUGGAACAGGACGUCACAGAGGGUGAGAAUCCCGUACGUGGUCGCUAGCUAUUGCCGUGUAAAGCCCCUUCGACGAGUCGAGUUGUUUGGGAAUGCAGCUCUAAAUGGGAGGUAAAUUUCUUCUAAAGCUAAAUAUUGGCCAGAGACCGAUAGCGCACAAGUAGAGUGAUCGAAAGAUGAAAAGCACUUUGGAAAGAGAGUCAAACAGCACGUGAAAUUGUUGAAAGGGAAGCGCUUGCAGCCAGACUUGCUUGCAGUUGCUCAUCCGGGCUUUUGCCCGGUGCACUCUUCUGCAGGCAGGCCAGCAUCAGUUUGGGCGGUGGGAUAAAGGUCUCUGACACGUUCCUUCCUUCGGGUUGGCCAUAUAGGGGAGACGUCAUACCACCAGCCUGGACUGAGGUCCGCGCAUCUGCUAGGAUGCUGGCGUAAUGGCUGUAAGCGGCCCGUCUUGAAACACGGACCAAGGAGUCUAACAUCUAUGCGAGUGUUUGGGUGUCAAGCCCGAGCGCGUAAUGAAAGUGAACGGAGGUGGGAACCCGCAAGGGCGCACCAUCGACCGAUCCUGAAGUUUACGGAAGGAUUUGAGUAAGAGCAUGGCUGUUGGGACCCGAAAGAUGGUGAACUAUGCUUGAAUAGGGUGAAGCCAGAGGAAACUCUGGUGGAGGCUCGCAGCGGUUCUGACGUGCAAAUCGAUCGUCAAAUUUGGGCAUAGGGGCGAAAGACUAAUC